AAUGUCAACCAAAACGAAACCAAUUGUUGACGAUGUUCAUGAUAUAACUUCUACCAGCCUAUUCUAAAGUGUAUAUUUCUAGAUUUAAAGGAACAAAAAUAGAAAGCUAAUUCCUAUCUUGUAUUAUCAAAUACAAUAUCAGCCCAAGACAUCUAGGACAAAUAGAAAUUAAGAUAAGAAUGGCUGGUAGGGUCACGUUUCUCCUUUUGUAUUUCUCCCUGUUCAAAGAGAGAAAUGCAACCAACUACCAAAUAUGGGGAGGGAAGUGGGAGAGGAGAGGGACCCAUGUACCCCGCUUCAAUCAAGCAGGCUGCAGUCACCCACUUGGCUUCUGUCAUCCCCAAGAUUGAACCUGGAGACAAAUCCAGCUAUUGCCUCCUCCUUGUCAGGCCACUCACACUGGGCAGACAGGAGUCCUGGGUUGGAGAGCUCGCACAGCUUCUGUACAUACGCCGCUGGGUCAAAGUUGGCGUCAUUAAAGAGGAGAUCCAGGAGCCUGUCUACAUAGACAGUCAUCUUUUUUAAAAGGGAAAUGUUUGUUAAAUGAGUAGUCAAUUUCAUUUCCUUUUAUUUUCUGUUCUGAGUUAUGAUGCUAAAAUGUGUUGAUGUAGUGAUCUACUCAUUCUACAAUGUGUUUUCUGGGUACUCAAUUUGAAAUAUUUGAUUUACUCUUUUGGUCGUGAAACUUUUCAAUACUGGUAUUUGAAAUGUUCGUGCACCUGAAAUGCUCAAAUUCAGAUUUUAAAUGAAUAACUAUUAAAUCAUGAUUAGCCUCAAUGACACAAGCUACAUCAACUGUAAGACAACAACCCACACAAUGGAAUGGCAAAAUAUGAUUUUCAGGGGUAAAUUAAAAAUACUAUACACAGCG